rnacentral:lncRNA from 1 species
GAAACCAAACAAAGCACAUUUACAUAUGAACCAAAACAAAAAGUAUACAUUUAUAAAAGUAAAAACAAAGUAAUAUAUAAAUACCCUUAUAGUACAAACAGCAAAUAAGUAGUUAAAUGGAUGCCAAAGUUUCUUAACUUUGUAUUAAAACUUUAAUUUCUAAUGUUUAAAUUAUCAUUUAUAAAAUAAAACAUUUAUUUUGAAAAUAAAAUAAAAAAUAAAAUAAAAAGUAAUAAUAUAAAUAUGACAAAGAUUUUUAUCAUGUUCAUUAAAAGUUUGUUUUAAAAUAAAUUUCUAAUGCCAUUGAUAAAAGCCAUUAUUGAAAAAUAAGGAACACAAAAAUUAAAAAAGGAUUGCAUGCAUUUAUAAGAAAAAGAAUUGAAUGGAAUUACCAGCUACUAGAACACAUAACUAUUAGUUUCCAUCCGUAGGAAUAUUUCACAACAGAAAACCAAAUCAUCUCCUAAAUAAUCCAAAUUUUUAAUGCAUAUUUACACUCACAUAGAAACAAAAAUAUAUAAACAACACAAACUCUUAUUGUUAUAGUACACACAUAAACCAUA